CCUUGAAAUACCACCCUUUAAUGUUUGAUGUUCUAACCUAUACUUCUGAAUCGAGGUAAGGGACACUGUCUGGUGGGUAGUUUGACUGGGGCGGUCUCCUCCCAAAGAGUAACGGAGGAGCACGAAGGUUAGCUAAUCCUGGUCGGACAUCAGGAGGUUAGUGCAAUGGCAAAAGCUAGCUUGACUGCGAGAGUGACGGCUCGAGCAGGUACGAAAGUAGGUCAUAGUGAUCCGGUGGUUCUGAAUGGAAGGGCCAUCGCUCAACGGAUAAAAGGUACUCCGGGGAUAACAGGCUGAUACCGCCCAAGAGUUCAUAUCGACGGCGGUGUUUGGCACCUCGAUGUCGGCUCAUCACAUCCUGGGGCUGAAGUAGGUCCCAAGGGUACGGCUGUUCGCCGUUUAAAGUGGUACGCGAGCUGGGUUUAGAACGUCGUGAGACAGUUCGGUCCCUAUCUGCCAUGGGCGUAGGAAAAUUGAGAGGGUUUGCUUCUAGUACGAGAGGACCGAAGUGAACGCACCGCUGGUGUUCGGGUUGUGAUGCCAAUUGCAUUGCCCGGUAGCUACGUGCGGAAUAGAUAAGUGCUGAAAGCAUCUAAGUACGAAACUAGCCUCGAGAUGAGUUUUCCCUGAUGAGAAUCAGUAAGGUCCGUUUGAGACUAAGACGUAGAUAGGUCAGGUGUGUAAGUGUAGUGAUACAUUGAGCUAACUGAUACUAAUGAACCGAGAGUCUUAACCUUACAACUC
rnacentral:rRNA from 1 species